rnacentral:lncRNA from 1 species
CUUGAUGUGAUGAAUAACGGUCAUAUUUUUCAAUUUAAUGAGGAAAAAAUGAGAAACAAAUAUGGGCUAUAUAUACUUUGAGUGGGCUUCUCUCAUCUGACAGAUUGAUUGACAAUAGUAAAUCUGGACUGGGCUUUCUAAUGUUUAUCCAUUGUCACCGGCGAAACCCUAAAAGCCCAAUAUCUUCUAUAAAGACUCGGUCGGCAGCCUUUUCCUUUCUUCCCAACCUUCAUUCUCAAUCUCGUCUGUACCACACACAAAUCACUAUCAAGCACUAUGUGGAGAACAUCAGUAUCGCGGAGCGCCUCUUUGAGUAGCCAUAUGUGCAAUUUUAUAUAAAUCUUCGCAUCUGGCUUAGUUAGGAGGCCAACACUAACAAAUUCGAUUCUAUUUCAUUGGAUCUCAAAACUAGGGCUCUUUGAUCGGACUCUUUGUCCUCAAUCUUUGGUCCUCCAAGGAGCCUUGGACAGUUCUAUUAACACACAAAAAGUUUAUGUGUAGAAUUAGAGACUGGUCGAGCGAUGAACAUCUUCUUUAAUUAUUCUUUGUGGUUUCAGAGGAAAUAUAAUUGAAGAAAAUUGCUGGUUAAGAGGUGUCUCGAUGAACAUGAGAAUAUGCUUUCUGAGAACCAGCAAAAUUGACGAUUGUCGAUCAACUGACCAAGCAAGUUCUUUUUGUAAAAGGCUUCGCUUUUGUCUCGAUACGAUAAAUCAUUCUUCGAUUUACAUUCUUGAUCCGUUUAUAAAUUGGAUUCCGCUUUGUGUAUAUAAUCAAGUUUUGAAUUGGGCAGAUGAUGAGAAUUAACUAUUUUGGGCUGAUUCAACCGUGAAGCUCCAAAAUUCGAGCUUUUUAAAACUGAUGCCCCUUUUGGUUUGACUUUAGACAGAUUAGCAAAAUUUUGCUGCUGUUAACUAAAUUUUUUUUUUUUAUCUUUUUCUGCAUUUUGGGUUUUUUAAUUUUUGCUUUUCUUGCUUCUUUUUUAUUUUUUAUGGUAAAAAUAUUGGAAGUUCAAUAUUUUCCUUUUGCCAAUUACAAUGUCAUAUCUAGGAAUGGUGAUUGGUUGGGUCAAGCUCGCUCUGCUUGUCCAACAGCACAAGCCAGCUCGGUCGAUG